rnacentral:lncRNA from 1 species
GGGUCCCUUACUUGACCCAUUGCCAUCUGUUUCUGCUUGAUGUGGGCUGGUUUAAAGUAAACUCAGAGAAUCCCCCAGAAAUAGAUAUUGGGGAUGACUGUAUUUCCUUCAACAAAAUGGUUGUGGGCUACAUCCAGCAGUGCGUCCACAGGCACCUGUUAGUACAAUGAAUCCUUGCUCCCUCCUCCUUCCCCCUUCCUACAGAUCCCCAUAACUUCCAGAUCUGCUCUGGAGAGUUUCCCAGUUCUCUAGAGCAAUUUUAAAGGCACACAGCAGGCUGGUGGGUGGGUGUGUCGUGCAUCAAAAUAUAUUUCUCCCAGUUCUAUUGAAAGAAUUAGUGUGUCAGCAGAAUACUUCCCUUGCCAACCUAUCCCAAGGGGGUUAUUCUUAUUGCUAUUACUGUUCAUUGUGGCAUCUUCUUACAUUGAUGUUUGGCCAUAAUCUGCAAGGCCAGGGACCCCAAUCUCUCUCUGCCCCACCCCCCAAUCUCUUAGAGAAUCCCAGUGAUAUAUACAGUUUGCCUGGGAGAUCGAAAGCUGAAGCUCUGGUUCUCCCGAAAAGAAACGUCAAUAAUUUUCAGCAGUUGAAGUCACCAGCACUAUGUGUGUCCCGUAUUUCCUCCCAGUUAACAAAUGAGACUGUAUGACCGUCCUAGAGGGACGUUUGUGGACCAGGAUGGGGGACAUCUCACUCCAAAAUUUCAGGAAUGCUUCCCUGCUCAAGUCACAAGCUGUCUAUGGUGGCUCCGAAGAGGCUCAGUAUACUUCUGCUUUUUGUGGCAACAGCAAAAGAAGUUUUCCAGUGCCUGUCAGGUGACCUGUGUUUGGCCUGAUGAACCCCACUCUUCAAAAGCAAGGAAAGUGUGAUCUGUGGAGCUGAUGAUCAACAAUGAAAGACAUUUGGAGUUUCGAAUUCCUGGAACAAAGCAAGACAUUACAUGCUCCUGUAAGUAUCUGUGUCGCAUCAAAACACAAACAGUAGCUUGUUUUAAUUUGUACUGUGGCCAGAAUAUUUUUCACAUAAAAUAAUACAGUUAGCUAACACCAGGAACCAUUCUUCCACAGGAAUAUCUGUGGAUGCAAGAAAAGAAUAACAAGGAUUUUCCGCACCACCACCUGCCUGUCUCCCUUGCUGUCCCUGGGCAGUCAUGUGCAGUGUAGCCUGGUGGUUAUUAAACGGAGGCCAUGUGUGACUCCAGUAUAGCCACCCAACUGUUUCCUCACACUAUUC